GUGGGGAAUUUUGGACAAUGGGCGAAAGCCUGAUCCAGCCAUGCCGCGUGCAGGAUGAAGGCCUUCGGGUUGUAAACUGCUUUUGUACGGAACGAAAAGACUCCUUCUAAUAAAGGGGGUCCAUGACGGUACCGUAAGAAUAAGCACCGGCUAACUACGUGCCAGCAGCCGCGGUAAUACGUAGGGUGCAAGCGUUAAUCGGAAUUACUGGGCGUAAAGCGUGCGCAGGCGGUUAUGUAAGACAGAGGUGAAAUCCCCGGGCUCAACCUGGGAACUGCGUUUGUGACUGCAUAGCUGGAGUGCGGCAGAGGGGGAUGGAAUUCCGCGUGUAGCAGUGAAAUGCGUAGAUAUGCGGAGGAACACCGAUGGCGAAGGCAAUCCCCUGGGCCUGCACUGACGCUCAUGCACGAAAGCGUGGGGAGCAAACAGGAUUAGAUACCCUGGUAGUCC
rnacentral:rRNA from 1 species